GAUCCUGGCUCAGGACGAACGCUGGCGGCGUGCUUAACACAUGCAAGUCGAACGUGAUUUUUAUGGAAGAACCUUCGGGGACGGAAGUAAAAUGAAAGUGGCGAACGGGUGAGUAACACGUGAGCAACCUACCUUACACAGGGGGAUAGCCGUUGGAAACGACGAUUAAUACCGCAUGAGACCACGAUACUGCAUGGUAUAGGGGUCAAAGAUUUAUCGGUGUAAGAUGGGCUCGCGUCUGAUUAGCUAGUUGGAAGGGUAAAGGCCUACCAAGGCGACGAUCAGUAGCCGGUCUGAGAGGAUGAACGGCCACACUGGAACUGAGACACGGUCCAGACUCCUACGGGAGGCAGCAGUGGGGAAUAUUGCACAAUGGGGGAAACCCUGAUGCAGCGACGCCGCGUGAGCGAAGAAGGUUUUCGAAUCGUAAAGCUCUGUCCUAUGAGAAGAUAAUGACGGUAUCAUAGGAGGAAGCCCCGGCUAAAUACGUGCCAGCAGCCGCGGUAAUACGUAUGGGGCGAGCGUUGUCCGGAAUUAUUGGGCGUAAAGGGUACGUAGGCGGCCUUUUAAGUCAGGUGUGAAAGCGUGAGGCUUAACCUCAUUAAGCACUUGAAACUGGAAGGCUUGAGUGAAGGAGAGGAAAGUGGAAUUCCUAGUGUAGCGGUGAAAUGCGUAGAUAUUAGGAGGAAUACCGGUGGCGAAGGCGACUUUCUGGACUUUUACUGACGCUCAGGUACGAAAGCGUGGGGAGCAAACAGGAUUAGAUACCCUGGUAGUCCACGCCGUAAACGAUGAGCACUAGGUGUCGGGGUCGCAAGACUUCGGUGCCGCAGUUAACGCAUUAAGUGCUCCGCCUGGGGAGUACGCACGCAAGUGUAAAACUCAAAGGAAUUGACGGGGACCCGCACAAGCAGCGGAGCAUGUGGUUUAAUUCGAAGCAACGCGAAGAACCUUA
rnacentral:rRNA from 1 species